AUGUUCAAUGGCCCCAUUCCAAGUAGUUUAAAGAGAUGUACGAGUUUGGUUAAAAUUACCCUUGAGGGGAACCAACUAACUGGAGAUAUAUCUCAACAUUUUGGAGUAUAUCCACGGCUCAAAAAGAUGAGCUUUCCAUCGAAUAGAUUCUCUGGGCAGAUCCCACCAAAUCUAGGUGCAUGUACCCAACUAACGGCAUUAGAUCUAUCACAAAAUAUGAUCACGGGUUCCAUACCUCCCAUCAUUUCUAAAUUGUCCAACCUAGUAGAGCAAAGACUCGAUUCCAAUCAUCUCACUGGUGAUAUUCCACCAGAAAUAUGCACAUUAACUAAUCUAUAUCGCAUGAACUUAUCAUCGAACCAGUUAUCUGGAUCCAUACCUACACAAGUAGAAAAGUUGAGCAAUCUAGGAAACCUUGAUAUAUCUAGAUUGGAUGGAUUAGUACCUGAGAAAUUAGGGGCCUGCACAAAACUAGAGUCCCUAAAGAUCAACAACAACAAGUUCAGUGGGAGCUUGCCUGGUGUGAUUGGAAAUUUAGCAGGCCUGCAGAUCAUGUUAGAUGUGAGCAAAAGUAACCUCAGUGGUGUGUUGCCGCAGCAACUCAGGAAGUUGGGGAUGCUAGAAUUUCUGAAUUUAUCACAUAAUCAGUUCAGUGGCAACAUUCCAUCCUCCUUUGCAAGCAUGGUGAGCCUUUCAACAUUUGAUGUGUCCUACAAUGACCUGGAAGGACCAGUCCCAACAACAUGGCUACUCCAGAAUGCUUCAACAAGCUGGUUUCUUCCCAAUAAAGGUCUGUGUGGUAACCUCCCUGGCAUGCCACCUUGUUAUUCAACUCCAGUAACUGGUGAGCAUAAACAAAAGAUACUUAGUUUUCUUUUGCCAAUUGUUCUUGUGGUGGGCUUCGGCAUUGUUGCUGCAAUUUCUGUCAUAAUAAUGAUUAAUCAUAACAAGAAAAAAUCACUAGAAGGGGUCACUGAUGAAGCAAGGGACCUGUUCUCCGUUUGGAAUUUUGAUGGAAGAUUGGCAUUUGAUGAUAUUGUAAGGGCGACAGAAGACUUCGACAAUAAAUACAUCAUUGGAACAGGAGGAUACGGCAAAGUCUACAAGGCACAACUCCAAGACGGGCAACUAGUUGCUGUGAAGAAGGUUCAUCAGACUGAAGAAGAGUUGGACGAUGAAAGAAGAUUUCGUAGUGAAAUGGAAAUCUUAUCACAGAUCCGACAACGAAGCAUCGUCAAGAUGUAUGGAUUCUGCUCCCAUCCGGCAUAUAAAUUUCUCGUCUAUGACUACAUUGAGCAAGGCUGCCUCUGCAUGAUAUUUGAAAAUGAGGAGCUAGCAAAGGAAUUAGAUUUGCAGACGAGAAUUGCUCUUACAACUGAUGUGGCCCAAGCAAUAUCUUAUUUGCACCAUGAAUGCAGUCCACCUAUAAUCCAUCGAGAUAUCACAAGCAACAACAUCUUACUUGAUACAACCUUCAAGGCUUUUGUCUCGGAUUUUGGCACAGCAAGGAUUCUCAAGCCCGAUUCAUCAAACUGGAGUGCACUAGCAGGAACAUAUGGCUACAUAGCUCCCGAACUGUCAUACACAUCUGUUGUGACAGAGAAAUGUGAUGGCUAUAGCUUUGGCGUGGUUGUGCUAGAGCUAGUCAUGGGGAAGCAUCCAGGGGAUCUAUUGGGUGAUAGUUUGCCAAGGGGGGAACAAGCUUUACUGGUGAAUGAUAUUCUGGACCAACGGCUGACAACACCAAUAACAACGGAAGAGAAUAGCUUAGAUCUGCUCAUCAAGCUGGCCUUCAGUUGCUUGGAAUCUUCUCCACAAGCAAGGCCAACCAUGCGGGAGGCAUAG
rnacentral:rRNA from 1 species